GACUCGGAACCGUUUAACUCCAGUUUCAAGGGAUCCCGCGCCCUCUGCUGGUCUCCACUGGUACUGCAUACACACAGCUCACAGACACAUGCUGGCAGCGUGCUCAAACAUGUAAGAUAGCGUGAAUUUUAAGGAGGUGAGAGAGCCUCAGGCUAUGACAGGAAGGAACAAAGCAGCAGGGCUCUGAGGAGAUCAAGAAGUCUAUUGACAUCAUCAUCUUUGAUCGGCUUGGAGAAGUAUUUGGGUUGGGGACCUAUGCAGAGGCUUCCGGGUGAGAACGGUGUUCCCCUAAAUUCAAAGGCUGCAAUAGUGUUAAAAGCCUCUACACCCAGGAAUCUCAGCUUUCACAAGAGGGUGCUGGCCCCAAACCAGAAAACAUCCAUGAGAGACUUCAAACGGACAACUUUAGGUCAGAAUAACCAUUGUAUUGCGUCUUCCCGGGACAGAGAUGCAAUGCCAAGGGACCGCCAGAAAAAUACAGUGUUCAUUCGGCUGCUAUUUUGCUUCCAUUUGUUCUGUCUGUAAGCAUUGUUGCUACGCUAUUGGGAAAGGUGCUGUGCUGAUACAACUGACGUUAAGCUUUCGUUACAAAGAAGCAGAUCUUUAGAGAGCUGGACCACAAAACACGACUGGUUAAUUCCAGUCAGGAUCUGAACCCUGGUCCACGUAGCCCGCACACCACGUCCUCUGUGGAACCCUUCCUGCUGCCUGGACUGACGAAGACCACAGCAGUCUAGCGAAGACCCAACACAGCCCUAGAAGAACAGUCACUGGGCUGCUUACAACACAACCUUAGGGCUGUUAGCUGGGUUCACCUCUGACUCCCAGACCUGGAAUGUUAAACCCUGCCUACGUCUCUUCUACCCAGCCAUUGGCUAUCAGCAUCUUUAUUCAUCAAUCAAAAAUAAUUUGGGGGCAAGGUCACAUAGUGUCACUUGGGUCUACGUGCAGAUUUUUUCGGGCAACCAGGUCUUGGGGGCCUGAUAUUAGCAUCAGAAUAUAAGCUGCACCAGGCCAGCCAACUACAGAGAACAGCAGUGGGGGUCAUGAAUUCACUCCUGAGACUACAGGAUGAAGGGCACCUUCCUCUGUUUAACUUCAGCUUGAAAUUCUCUGCUACUGUCAUAACAGCUUCAU
rnacentral:sRNA from 1 species